AGAGUUUGAUCAUGGCUCAGGAUAAACGCUGGCGGCGCACAUAAGACAUGCAAGUCGAACGGACCAAAACAAUAGUUUACUAAUGUCGAGGUUAGUGGCGGACUGGUGAGUAACACGUAAGCAACCUGCCUAACAGAGGGGAACAACAGUUAGAAAUGACUGCUAAUACCGCAUAUGCCUAAGUAUCGCAUGAUACAAUAGGGAAAGGAGAAAUCCGCUGAUAGAUGGGCUUGCGACUGAUUAGCUAGUUGGUAGGGUAGAGGCCUACCAAGGCAACGAUCAGUAGCCGAACUGAGAGGUUGAACGGCCACAUUGGGACUGAGAUACGGCCCAGACUCCUACGGGAGGCAGCAGUCGGGAAUAUUGCGCAAUGGAGGAAACUCUGACGCAGUGACGCCGCGUGCAGGAAGAAGGUUUUCGGAUUGUAAACUGCUUUAGACAGGGAAGAAGAAAGGACAGUACCUGUAGAAUAAGCUCCGG
rnacentral:rRNA from 1 species